rnacentral:tRNA from 1 species
ACGACGAGGUGGCCUAGUGGUUAAGGUGAUGGGCUGCUAAACCAUUGUGCUUUGCAUGCAUGGGUUUGAGUCCCAGUGGAGUG